AUACGGGAGUGCCCUUCGGGGAACGUUGAGACAGGUGGUGCAUGGUUGUCGUCAGCUCGUGUCGUGAGAUGUUGGGUUAAGUCCCGCAACGAGCGCAACCCUUGUGAUUAGUUGCUACGCAAGAGCACUCUAAUCAGACUGCCGUUGACAAAACGGAGGAAGGUGGGGACGACGUCAAAUCAUCAUGCCCCUUAUGACCUGGGCUACACACGUACUACAAUGACCGUCAACAGAGGGAAGUAAGACCGCGAGGUGGAGCAAACCCCUAAAAACGGUCUCAGUUCGGAUCGCAGGCUGCAACCCGCCUGCGUGAAGCUGGAAUUGCUAGUAAUCGCGGAUCAUCAUGCCGCGGUGAAUACGUUCCCGGGCCUUGUACACACCGCCCGUCACACCAUGGGAGCCGGUAAUACCCGAAGUCGGUAGCCUAACCGCAAGGAGGGCGCCGCCGAAGGUAGGAUUGGCGACUGGGGUGAAGUCGUAACAAGGUAGCCGUAUCGGAAGGUGCGGCU
rnacentral:rRNA from 1 species